rnacentral:rRNA from 1 species
UACGAGAGGUCCAAACGUUAUUCGGAAUCACUGGGCUUACAGAGUUCGUAGGCGGUCCAGAAAGUGGGGUGUGAAAUCCCUCGGCUUAACCGGGGAACUGCGUCUGAUACUGGAUGGCUUGAGUUCGGGAGAGGGAUGCGGAAUUCCAGGUGUAGCGGUGAAAUGCGUAGAUAUCUGGAGGAACACCGGUGGCGAAGGCGGCAUCCUGGACCGACACUGACACUGAGGAGCGAAAGCCAGGGGAGCAAACGGG